CCACAUACUUUUACAAGGCCUUUCAUUGUAAUUAGACAUAUACGUUUGAAUUCGAAACUGCCAGCUUUGAAGCGGUAAUAAAGUUACGAAAUUUACGUCAAAGUAAUUAAAUAAAAUUGAGCACAAGUCGAAAGCGGUUUAAACUUUUUGCCCACCUAAAAUCCUGUUCGACGAUUCGGCAACGAGGCCAUGGACGGCCAUGGACGGAGUCAGUUCCAGUUGGAUACCAGUUUCAGGUCCAGAUCCCAUCCUGACCAGGCCGCAGAAAGAAGCCGCAGACACAAGCCGCAUGCUGUCGGGAUGUGAGAUACGAGCAUCAGCUUCUCACUGACCAACGCACCACCCCCCUUUCCCCCAUUGAGCCCCCCCCUUGCACGCUCAUGUAAAUUAGCUGCGUUGUCCAAUAAUUCUGAUUUGUUGUUGCUACACUGGCAUGCUAAUAAAAGCGGAAUGCCCAAGCUCA